rnacentral:hammerhead_ribozyme from 1 species
AUCCAGAGGACGAGACCCAAAUAGGACGAAAUGCGCAUCCUGGAU